CAAGGUUGCUGAGAAGCACAAACAGCCGCUUUCUGCCCAAGUUCAGAAUCCUGAGGACCCUGAGCUUGGUGUCACUGAGAGAACCGGAGGGCGUAUGGGAGAAGGAGGAAGAAACAGAAGUUCAGCAAGGGAAGACACAGAGAGGAAAAUGGAGAAAGAAAUGUUGACUCAGUAGACUACUGAUUAUUUGACCAAUAAACAGUGGAGCAACAAAAAGUCAAAAGAAAACCAACCAGUAGAAAAGAGAACAAAAGAAAACAGUGAUGCAUCUGGAGCCCUGCUGUUUGUUCUCUGCUCCACCGACAGAUGGAGCACUUUAGAAUGCAAGACCCAACGUGAUGGAAACGUAUUCGGAAGGCUUGGACGAGCAAUACGGCAGUUCGACCCUUUACAAUAUAGCGAUCCUGAAACGGCUUUACUGUUUUCUCAUGAAUGAGCUAAAAAAUAAAUGCAAACUAUUUUCUUUUAUCCAAUUCAUAAUGAAUACUAAUAGUAAAUAUACUCAAAACAAAGAUGGCACCUAGAAAAAUGGUUUUGGCUAAAACUUGACAGAAGCACAUCUUGUUGAUAAAAUUUCUAUUUGCAAACUUUGAUUUAGAAUAAUUGGACCUGGUAGAUAUAAUGUCCAUAAAAGUACAUUUCUAACUGCAGAUGCUAUAGUUGGUUGACGUGAACAAAAAAACUUGAUCAACAAAACAAGACGUAGAAAAUUUUCAAUGGGAAAUAAUGAUUCUGAUGAGAAAAAUUCUAGCAAAAGGAAAAAUGUUUAAUUGGAAACAAUUUUACUGUGCUAGGUAGGUAGGUAGGUAGGCCAAACAGAGAGGUUCUGUCCUUUGUGUAU